GCCUGAGUGGCGGAACUGGUAGACGCGCACGACUCAAAAUCGUGUGUCCUCGGACGUGCCGGUUCGAUUCCGGCCUUAGGUA
rnacentral:tRNA from 1 species